UACGUAGGCAGCGAGCGUUGUUCGGAGUUACUGGGCGUAAAGGGCUCGUAGGCGGCCAACUAAGUCGGACGUGAAAUCCCUCAGCUUAACUGGGGAACUGCGUCCGAUACUGGAUGGCUUGGAUUUGGGAGAGGGAUGCGGAAUUCCAGGUGUAGCGGUGAAAUGCGUAGAUAUCUGGAGGAACACCGGUGGCGAAGGCGGCAUCCUGGACCAAUAUUGACGCUGAGGAGCGAAAGCUAGGGGAGCAAACGGG
rnacentral:rRNA from 1 species